AUGAACGCUAGCUACAGGCUUAACACAUGCAAGUCGAGGGGCAGCAUGGUCUUAGCUUGCUAAGGCCGAUGGCGACCGGCGCACGGGUGAGUAACACGUAUCCAACCUGCCGUCUACUCUUGGACAGCCUUCUGAAAGGAAGAUUAAUACAAGAUGGCAUCAUGAGUCCGCAUGUUCACAUGAUUAAAGGUAUUCCGGUAGACGAUGGGGAUGCGUUCCAUUAGAUAGUAGGCGGGGUAACGGCCCACCUAGUCUUCGAUGGAUAGGGGUUCUGAGAGGAAGGUCCCCCACAUUGGAACUGAGACACGGUCCAAACUCCUACGGGAGGCAGCAGUGAGGAAUAUUGGUCAAUGGGCGAGAGCCUGAACCAGCCAAGUAGCGUGAAGGAUGACUGCCCUAUGGGUUGUAAACUUCUUUUAUAAAGGAAUAAAGUCGGGUAUGGAUACCCGUUUGCAUGUACUUUAUGAAUAAGGAUCGGCUAACUCCGUGCCAGCAGCCGCGGUAAUACGGAGGAUCCGAGCGUUAUCCGGAUUUAUUGGGUUUAAAGGGAGCGUAGAUGGAUGUUUAAGUCAGUUGUGAAAGUUUGCGGCUCAACCGUAAAAUUGCAGUUGAUACUGGAUAUCUUGAGUGCAGUUGAGGCAGGCGGAAUUCGUGGUGUAGCGGUGAAAUGCUUAGAUAUCACGAAGAACUCCGAUUGCGAAGGCAGCCUGCUAAGCUGCAACUGACAUUGAGGCUCGAAAGUGUGGGUAUCAAACAGGAUUAGAUACCCUGGUAGUCCACACGGUAAACGAUGAAUACUCGCUGUUUGCGAUAUACGGCAAGCGGCCAAGCGAAAGCGUUAAGUAUUCCACCUGGGGAGUACGCCGGCAACGGUGAAACUCAAAGGAAUUGACGGGGGCCCGCACAAGCGGAGGAACAUGUGGUUUAAUUCGAUGAUACGCGAGGAACCUUACCCGGGCUUAAAUUGCAGAUGAAUUACGGUGAAAGCCGUAAGCCGCAAGGCAUCUGUGAAGGUGCUGCAUGGUUGUCGUCAGCUCGUGCCGUGAGGUGUCGGCUUAAGUGCCAUAACGAGCGCAACCCUUGUUGUCAGUUACUAACAGGUUCCGCUGAGGACUCUGACAAGACUGCCAUCGUAAGAUGUGAGGAAGGUGGGGAUGACGUCAAAUCAGCACGGCCCUUACGUCCGGGGCUACACACGUGUUACAAUGGGGGGUACAGAGGGCCGCUACCACGCGAGUGGAUGCCAAUCCCAAAAACCUCUCUCAGUUCGGACUGGAGUCUGCAACCCGACUCCACGAAGCUGGAUUCGCUAGUAAUCGCGCAUCAGCCACGGCGCGGUGAAUACGUUCCCGGGCCUUGUACACACCGCCCGUCACACCAUGAGAGUCGGGAAUACCCGAAGCCUGUGAGCCAACAUAUUUAUAUGAGGCAGCAGUCGAAGGUAGAAUCAAUGAUUGGGGUG
rnacentral:rRNA from 1 species